rnacentral:rRNA from 1 species
AAUGGGCGAAAGCCUGAUGCAGCAACGCCGCGUGAGCGAUGAAGGCCUUCGGGUCGUAAAGCUCUGUCCUCAAGGAAGAUAAUGACGGUACUUGAGGAGGAAGCCCCGGCUAACUACGUGCCAGCAGCCGCGGUAAUACGUAGGUGGCGAGCGUUGUCCGGAAUUACUGGGCGUAAAGGGCGCGUAGGCGGCCUGUUAAGUCAGAUGUGAAACCCCCAGGCUCAACUUGGGGAUUGCAUUUGAAACUGAUGGGCUCGAGUGUCGGAGAGGAAAGUGGAAUUCCUAGUGUAGCGGUGAAAUGCGUAGAUAUUAGGAGGAACACCAGUGGCGAAGGCGACUUUCUGGACGAUAACUGACGCUGAGGCGCGAAAGCGUGGGGAGCAAA